GGCUGUAGCCCCCCUGCCUACCACUUGCCCAUCUCGAUCAGUUCUAGAGGCUUCACUGGCAACUCCAGCCAGACACAGCCUCUUCCUCGCCAGGACCCUCCGGUGGUCUCAGGGCUGAGCUCCAGGCGCCCUGGUUGUGGUGAUCUGUGUGUGCCAACUGUAGGCUCCCUGAAGCAAAGCGCCUGGUCGGAUUCAUCCUUCUUGUUGCAGUAGCAUCUACAAUGGGACAGAUCGCAAACAAAGGCGCGCACAGACCCCUUCGUUUACAUCUGCUAGAACGGAGCCUGGGUGUGGCGAAGGCCAUCUACCUGGAGGGCCUGACAGGUUGCUACGCAGUACCGAGAAGAGCUCUCUGCGCUGCGGCGGUGAUUGGGUGGCCUCGGCCUGCGGUGGCGUGGAGCGAGGUUUGGGGUCCCAGCCAGAGAUGGAGGCUGGUGGCUGUGGUGAAGGCACCAGUUCCUAGACCAGUGGUCAGUGACGAGGGCCCUGGACAUUCGGCUUUGCAGAGAGGAAUCUCUACAAAGACGGAAAGCAGAGAAGCAAGUCAAGUAUUUAUUAGGAGGGAAGAGAGUACAUUCUGUGUGGACAGAUGCAGGGGAGCUUCCGCGAGUCACGCCCUCGUGGUGGUUUGAGUCCCUUUCAGGGGGCACUUCUUCCAGGUUUGGCCAGUCAUCUUGGUUUGCCUGGUUCACAGUUCACGUUUGGUAUAUCUCAGGAUCCUCCCACCUGUGCGCAGGCAUCUCUUGGCCAAGAUGGAUUUUACUGAACAGUGUAUGGGUAGAGAACAUCCCUUGACUGACCCCUUGGCCUCCGAGGAGCUUCUCUGCGCAUGUGUGGUGGGCCAGGUCUCCUGACCUGGAGAAGGAGAAAUAUGUGGUCUCGGCAGGCCCCCUCCCUUCCCUGUCCUGCUAUUCUUAUCUCGGCAUUUCAGACCACAGGGAGUGAAGCUCCAACUGCUUUACCCCGGGGGCCCAUCUUCCUCCUGCAUCAGCAGGGCCUUGCUGGUUAUCCAUUUUAAAUCCAGCCGUGUGUCCCUGUCCAUCCCAAACUCCUAACUACCUCUUCCUCUCAUCCUUCCUCCACUAACCAUAAGUUAGUUCUCUAAGUCUGUGAAUCUGUUUCUGUAAAAACUGGAAUAUUGUUGAGUGAAAUCUCCUGUUUCAAAUGUUGGCUCAGUUAAAAAAAAAAACACUGUAUGGGUCAAAAAAGAACCCCAAACAAAGCAUAUCUUGCAUCCGGUCACUGGGCGGCCAGUUUUCAGUCCAGUAUAAGGAUGUGUUCCUUCGUCCACUGGGGACAGUAUUUUCAAGAGCUUAUUAGGAUUUUCCUUCCUGACCUAGAGUCUCUGAUUGUCCCCAUUGGGACCCUAGGUUUCCUUAUUUUGUGGGUCCAACUAGAUAGGGCCAGUCUCAAGCCAGAAGGAAAAAAAAAACCACAACAGAAACACAGGUAGGAAAUACUCACUAUCAAGGAGUAUAAUGGGGAGCCGAGGGGGAAAGGGAUGGUGAGAAAUGGAAGGAGAAAGACCUCUGAACCAGAGGCGGCCCAUUCAGCACCAAGGUUGGGGGCCUGCCCGCUGCCCAUCCACCCAGGUUAAGUGACACUCUCCCAAGCCUUGAGACCCUGUCCAAC
rnacentral:lncRNA from 1 species